rnacentral:lncRNA from 1 species
CACUGACUCCUUUUUUGGACUCAGCCUGCCUGCACUCAGGUGAAAUAAACAGUCUUGUUGCUCACACAAAGCCUGUUUGGUGGUCUCUUCACAUGGACUUCAGUGAAAUUUGGUGCCGUGACUCGGAUCGGGGGACCUCCCUUGGGAGAUCAAUCUCCUGUCCUCCUGCUCUUUGCUCCAUGAGAAAGAUCCACCUACGAUCUCUGGUCCUCAGAUCAACCAGACCAAGGAACAUCUCACCAAUUUUAAAUCGGAUUUUCUCGGCUUAGCCACUGAAGACUGAUGCUGC